UCUGGAUCUCACUUUAGGAAGUUGGUACAUGGCCAGGGAUCUGCUCACGUACCGUGUGUCUAGGAGCCCAUCGCCACGUUCAUGCUUACACUGACUUAGACUUUUCAGAGACCCCAUUCCUGAAGGGUUGCCAAAAUACAAGGGCUACAGCAAACAGAAUGAAUCAUGAAGACUAUUAAUUGAGUUUUUGCUACCAAACGCAUCUAUUCAGACCCUACUACCUGGACACAGCUCUCUUGGUGCCAGAUCUGAGGGAGGAUGAGGGAAGUGAGGCCCAGAAACAGAAAUUAUCAUGGAGGAG